GACUGAUAGAAUAAGUUCUAGGCUUUAAAAAAAAGUCCUGGAGUCCAUUUGUUCUACUAAAUUCCUUCAAAACAGUGCUCCAGCAUGUGUGUGUGUGUGUG